UAUUUCGUCGUCUAAUAGGUAAGACAUAAAUUUUUGGUAUUUAGUAUUGGGUGUUCGAAUCACCCCGAGAUAA